AGAGUUUGAUCAUGGCUCAGAACGAACGCUGGCGGCGCGUUUUAAGCAUGCAAGUCGAACGGUAGGGAAGUGCUUGCACUUCCUGAGAGUGGCGGACGGGUGAGUAACACGUAGAUAAUCUGCCUUUGGAUUGGGGAUAGCAUAUGGAAACAUGUGGUAAUACCGAAUAAGCUCCUGGGAACACAAGUUUCCUUGAGGAAAGGUGCUUAGGCAUCGUCCGAAGAUGAGUCUGCGGUUCAUUAGCUAGUUGGUGGGGUAAAGGCCUACCAAGGCAACGAUGAAUAGCCGGCCUGAGAGGGUGGACGGCCACACUGGGACUGAGACACGGCCCAGACUCCUACGGGAGGCAGCAGCUAAGAAUCUUCCGCAAUGGGGGAAACCCUGACGGAGCGACGCCGCGUGAACGAUGAAGGCGGAAACGUUGUAAAGUUCUUUUCUUGGGGAGGAAUAAGUCUGGUAGGUAAUGACCGGAUGAUGACGUUAACCAAGGAAUAAGCCCCGGCUAAUUACGUGCCAGCAGCCGCGGUAACACGUAAGGGGCAAGCGUUGUUCGGAAUUAUUGGGCGUAAAGGGCGCGUAGGCGGUUUUACAAGUCUGGUGUGAAAUAUCUCAGCUUAA
rnacentral:rRNA from 1 species